rnacentral:rRNA from 1 species
CCGUAGCUUGCCGACCAAGUCUAUCGGGAAAUCCACCUGCCCAACAGGUGGGCGUCCGGUAGAAACUGGCCGGCUUGGAACCGGAAGGCUCAGAGAGUACGUCCGGGGUAGGAGUGAAAUCCCGUAAUCCCGGACGGACUACCGAUGGCGAAAGCACUCUGAGAAAACGGAUUCGACAGUGAGGGACGAAAGCUCGGGUCUCAAACC